CCCCCCCCCUCCCCCAAAACAAAAUCUGACUUUGUGAUUACCUCUUCCUCUCGUCAUUCGAUUGCAACCCAAUCCCCCUACCGAGCCUUCACCUGAUCCACUUUCCCCUAUACCGAGCCUUCGCCUACUGCCGAGCCUUCGCCUCCUCACCCAGCCAGUAAGUCUCCUCCAUCUCUCUUUCUCCUUUCAUUGUUCCUCUCUCUCUCUCUCUCUCUCUCUCUCUCUCUCUCUCUCUCUCUCUCUCUCUCUCUCUCUCUCUCUCUAUGAUUAAGUUGCCCCUUCAUGCCUCAACAUCGCGUGCGACCUCCUUCACUUGGUCUCUAUUUCAACAAGCUAUCUUCUUUUCUCCUUUCACUCUUGUAAUGGUAUUUCUCUCACAGACCCUUCUCUAUCGGUGUCUCAUGUGCCUAUGUCUGUUUCUCCAUCAGUUUUGCCCUUCUCUCCCUCGUUCCAUCUUUGUCUCUCUCUGUUUUUGGCUAUCUAUAUUAGCUAGCUUUUCUUGUUCAUUUGCAAGUGAAAGACAGUUUGGCAUAAGAACUUGGACAGGGAAGAGAACACCACGAUUUGCACGGGUAACAUUGCAAGUUUCACAACAGUCAAAGAAGCACAAACUAUGUAUUUUGGUCCAUCUUUAGAAAACAAGUUUUAGAGAUUUUGGAGGAGUUUGGGACAACAGGAAGAAAGUUGUGAUCUGCUCAGUUCUUUGAUUAUCUUGUUGUUUGCAUGCUGAAAGCCAUCAUCGGCUGAAACAUUUGUCAACUAGAUUUGACAAUUCUUGAAGCUUUCAAGGCGAUUCUGUUUUGUGCCUACUCCAUUUAUUGCAGAAAACAAAGUUGCUCGUACAAGAAGUCCAAAGCCUACCAAAAAGUCCACUUCAAUAUUAUCUUAUUUUUCGACUUAGAAGUCCAAGUCUACCAAAAUAAAUGAAUAUAGAUCUUGUGGCUCGAUUUGGUUCCCUGAAACUUUAAAUUAGCCUUAACAGGCAUGUGAGGAGCCUGUGCCGUGAAUCUGAAUAGAUGUGCUGAGCUGCUGGAUGUAAUACACGUGUUGCAAAUAUGUUGUACCGUAUAUAUAUUCACUUAUGUGUUGUAACCCUAAUACACCGAACUCAUUUAUUGUAUUGGCUGAAAACAAAGAGGUAGAGAGAAGAGGAAAGGGCGAUUUCUAGGGUUUUCUAGGGUUUGCUCUUGGGAGGAGAAAUAUGUGUGAUUUCUGUGAGAGAACUGAAAGGGUCUUGUAUCACUAUUAACUGAGGUUUCUCUGUGAUUCAUUGAUUUAUCAAUAAAAAUCUCUGAGACCA